rnacentral:rRNA from 1 species
GUCUUUUUGAAUUUUAUUUAAAGUUUGACCUGCCCACUGAAAUAAUUUAAAUGGCCGCAGUAUUUUAACUGUGCAAAGGUAGCAUAAUCAUUAGUUUUUUAAUUGAGAACUUGUAUGAAUGGUUGGACGAAAUAUUAACUGUUUCAUUUAAAUUUUAAAUUGAAUUUUAUUUUUUAGUUAAAAAGCUAAAAUUAGUUUAAAAGACGAGAAGACCCUAUAGAUCUUGAUAAUAUUUUUAAUUUAAAUUACAAAGAUUUUUUAUAUUUUUAUUAAAUUUUUAUUUUGUUGGGGUGAUAUUAAAAUUAAAAAAACUUUUAAUAAAUAAUAUAUAUAUAUAUAUAUAAUAUACAUUAAUUUAUGUUUUUAUUGAUCCAUUAUUAAUGAUUAAAAAUUUAAGUUACCUUAGGGAUAACAGCGUUAUUUUUUUAGAGAGUUCAUAUCGAUAAAAAAGAUUGCGACCUCGAUGUUGGAUUAAGAUAAUAUUUAGGCGCAGCAGUUUAAAUAAUAAGUCUUUCGACUUUUAAAUUCUU